rnacentral:lncRNA from 1 species
UGGCUCAAUAGUUCACUACUCAUUUUAUUUUCAUUUAUUUUCUGGGUUGAAUCAUUUCUGUCUCGUGAAUCCGGCAUUCUAAGAACACGGACGAACUGUCCUUUUUCUUGCCUAUUUGAUACAAUCCGUCCUGGUUUUUUUUCUUCUUUUUGUUUUGUCUGUACUUUGAGGUUUCCCUCGAGGUUUAGUUCAUAAGUAAUUGCGCGAAGAAGGAUCAUGGCUUAGGUUUACAUGAUCCAUUAUAUGUAAAACAUAUUAGCUUAAAUAAACUACCAUCAAAGUCAUGUAGAUACACUUGUGGUUCUUCAAAAAUGGUGUGGCUAACCAGUAGAUGCUUUUAAAGUGGCAUAUCAUUGCAAUAAAAUGUACUGUGUUACAAUUCUUAGUACCAUAGCACGGAACACAAGUCAUGACAAGUGUAACACUACUGAAUGCUAUUUUUUUACAUUCCCUAAACUUAAUAAGAUGGAUUACACAAUAACUUUGUAUUUUGA